UGUUUUAUUGAAAGUGUCUUUUAGUCCAGUCGCGUUGGUAGAUAUAAACGUGAGCGUGCAUCGCGAGCUCAGUUCUCAGAGAUCAUCAAUCAUCUGAAGGCCUGAAGUUUCAGAGGAGGAGCGAGUGUAUCGAUCGCUACAGAUGUGGCCCCUAAAACCACAAACAGACCCUUAAAACACUCCUCAUCAAUGAACAUAUAGCCCGCAUCGUGACAUCAGCGGCCAUCGAUCGCCUUUACAUAAAUGUCUACAUUUAGCGCUGUUGUUUUGUUGUUGAAAUCAACUCUUCACGCGCUGGUGGAGAUCGAGCAGAACUCACACACGAGGUCAGACACACACUCUCACCCGAACCCCGGCUUAUAAUGAAGACAGCAAUUAAAGCGGAUUCAUAAAUGAGAGAGAGAGAGGAGGGAAUGAGCACUAGCGAGUGGACACAGAGCGCGCGCUGGAUGACCAGUGCUUCAUCAUCAUCAUCAUCGCGAGGAAGAGUGCGAGCGCUUCUGUGCACCCACACACACACACACACACGCACACGCGCGCCUGAGCCGACACACGGGAUUCAGGAGUCUCCUGAAAGCGGAUGGCGAGCGCAUCAUUAGGCGGGUCGGGGACAGCGCCACCCACAGGACACACGCCGUCCUGCAGCCGAAACAAAGAACUUUUGCACGUUUUCUCUUUCUCCGGUCCGACUCUCUCUCCCCCGCUCGACCGCAUCUCCUCCACCUCUGGAUCCAUGAAUAAAAUACGACGCGCUCAGAAUAAGAAGAUGGCACUGCAGUAACUGUCAAAUCCAAGAUGAAAUAAUAAAUUCAGGAGCCUUUUUCUGCUCUGUUGAAGGAAACUUUGUUCUCCUCCUCGUCUGCGUUCGCUCGUUUGCUGAUAUUUCCACCCCGUUUCGGAGUUUUUUCUCUCCUCCUUCAAGCGCUUCACUUUUCAAGGUUUCAUGGAGUGAUUGAUGACAUCGGGUGUAAAAGCAGUGCGAGACUGUUUGUAACCUCUAUCAGAACAUUCAUCACCUUAUCGUCUUUAAAUGCAAUGAAUACGGUGUAAUGUUGGGCUCGGUUGAUUGGAGUCUCCAGAAUGGGUCAAAACCUCAGCAGUGUACAGUGUGUUCGGCCUGUCCUUUGAAUGAAACAUUUUCCUCAGGUAGUUGAUCACAUGUGAUCUCUGAACCCCAACAUGACCGUGGUGUAGGAACCGCGGUGGGACGAUGAGCUUUCCUACACUUCACCAUGCGUGUGUGAUCUCACAUUAACCCUUCAUCUAAUAAACCACUCAUCCUCUCAUCGCUCUUUUAGAAACAGACACAGCAUUGACUGUGGAAUGACAAAAAUAAAGAAAACACAAGUGUAGCCCAGUGGUAAACUUGGGUAUUAUAGUGCACUGGGAGUCGGUGGGUUGUUAUGAAUCUCUCUUACUCUCAAAAGUGGAGUAAAAAAAGGGUAAACGAUUAUUUACUUGGAAAAUAAUAAUGAGGAGACACCUGACUUCUAAAUAAGCAAAUAUCAGUUAAUUUUACGUAAUUAAAAGGAGAGUGAUAUUUGGUCAUUUUAUUUUGUGACAGUAAUUUAAACAAAAGUUUAUAUUAUUUAGUUAAAUAAUAUUUGGAAGAUGUUUUAGGCCGUUUAACUUUUUAUUACUUUAUUUUUACUGUUUUUAUGUAACUAAUUGUAUUUUGAGUAUUCACGCUGUAUAGCCAAUAGUGUUUGGCGGAAGAGAUGCACGUGACCUGGUGAGAGAAAGUGCUGGAAGUUUAGUUUUUUUCCGCGUUUCCCGCUGUACCCGUGUGGAGCACGAGACGCAGGCACGGGAGAAGAGAAAUAAGACGUAAAGAAGUGCGGGUAACUCAUGAAUCGGGAGGACCGCGAAUCAGAGAAGUGGACCGCGGACUCGAGAUGUUGGUGAACCGAGAGACAGAGUGAUAAACGACGCUGAAGACCCGUUUGACGGAGCGCGAGAGACAGAGCACGAGCUGUAAUCUGAGGUAACUUAACUGUUUAGUCGAGAUCGCUAGCCACCGUGGUGUUUUGCUGGGCGGAACUGACGGUUAAUCGCACCUCACAUGAACAGCUGGACCGAAGUUUUCGACGCUCUCAAUGUUUUUUCAAGUGUUUGUUCACCGCACUCAAUGUUUUGCGAGACCCAAACAGGCCUGCAACAUGUUUUUCUCCAUUCAGUAAAACGGGACCGUGAGUAAACUGAAACGCGUGUGAAUGUGUGUGUGAGUGGGCCCACCACUACAUUUGCUAGUAUCUGUUUUAGGACACUUGACGGUAUUGUUUUGUUUAUUUUAAAGCUUUCUGUGUAUUUUCCUGUGUGGAUAGAGAUUUAGUCCAAACUGUUAUACCACUUGUCUCAAACAUGUGAGUGAAACUAUUGUAGCUAGCUAAAUAGCUUAAAGGGGCUAUUUUUCAAGUGUUCAGAGAAGAUUUUGGUCAUUUAUUUUGUUUAUGGGUUAAUAUUGAGAUAAGGGAAAAGCUUUUAUAUUUCUUUUGUGAAUUUCUGUGAUCUAAUUAAACCAGGGUUUUACCCUAUUCUUUUUGUUAAAAUAUAAA